GGGGAUGUAUUGGCUUCGACAGGGAUAUGGACGGUUUGGUAAGCGAGUAGAAGGACCCCGUGGGCCUGCUUUAAAAAACUAUGGGAAUUUGUAAACGCAGAAGAUAAUUUUGCACUAGCAGCCUAGUCUGCUACGUUCUGCCCGGGAUGGCCGUUGCCUGGGGCCAGGGCGUCAUUAAACGGUAAAACGAGCCUGGCAAAGCUUUGAGCCAGGAACGGAAUAAAUGAAGCUACAGAUUCCAUAGCCUGCCUGUAGGCGAUGGAGGAUGGAAAUUUAAACUACAGAGCUACACUCGUAGAAAGCCAGGUCGGCUGAUUUCUGGACACGGGUUCGACACCCGUCAUCUCCACCA
rnacentral:tmRNA from 1 species